rnacentral:lncRNA from 10 species
GGCCGCACCGCUCGCCGGUCACUCACCAGACUACAUCUGAUUGGAGAAGGAGGAAGAUGUAGGUGGCCAGAGCCCCCAUGGAGUAGAGGAAGGCAAACACGGCCACGGUGACAAAGAAUUCGGCUGACGAGGAGUAGUCCCCAACUAAGAAGACCUUGGUGGUGCCCCCUCGGCAGGUGGGUGCAUCAAAGUACACUUGGUGCAGCCUGCAAACAGAGGUGGGCAGGUGUGGCCCAGCCCCUCAGAACACCCUCAACCCUCCAGCCCAAUCAUGGGUCCCCCCAUUUCUGACAAGGCCCCAGGAAGAGGAGGAAAUAACCAUUCAUCGAGCACCUACUAUGUACCAGUCACAUUUCACUGAUUGCUCAAAACAUCCUGGUGAGAUAGGUGUUAUUCAUCCCUCACUCCAACCCAAGCACUCUGGCCUCUUGAUUAUUUCUAGAACUUGCCAGGCAUCCUCCCUCCCUAGGAUCUUUGUUUGUACUGGCUGUUCCCUUUGCCAGGAAUGCUUUUCCCCUAGAUAGCUUCGGGUCUUACUCCC